rnacentral:misc_RNA from 1 species
GAUGAAGAACGCAGCGAAAUGCGAUAAGUAAUGUGAAUUGCAGAAUUCAGUGAAUCAUCGAAUCUUUGAACGCACAUUGCGCCCGCCAGCAUUCUGGCGGGCAUGCCUGUUCGAGCGUCAUUUCAACCCUCAAGCUCUGCUUGGUGUUGGGGCCCUACGGUUGACGUAGGCCCUUAAAGGUAGUGGCGGACCCUCUCGGAGCCUCCUUUGCGUAGUAACUAACGUCUCGCAUUGGGAUUCGGAGGGACUCUUGCCGUAAAACCCCCAAAUUUUCUAAUGGUUGACCUCGGAUCAGGUAGGAAUACCCGCUGAACUUAAGCAUAUCAAAAGCGGAGGA